UACGUAGGGGGCUAGCGUUGUCCGGAAUCAUUGGGCGUAAAGCGCGUGUAGGCGGUCCGGUAAGUCCGCUGUGAAAGUCGAGGGCUCAACCUCGAAUGCCGGUGGAUACUGUCGGGCUAGAGUACGGAAGAGGCGAAGUGGAAUUCCUGGUGUAGCGGUGAAAUGCGCAGAUAUCAGGAGGAACACCAAUUGCGAAGGCAGCUCGCUGGGACGUUACUGACGCUGAGACGCGAAAGCGUGGGGAGCAAACAGG
rnacentral:rRNA from 1 species